AGGAGCCCGAGGAUCGCUGUGCGACCCAGGACAAAGAUAAAGCCUUCCGAGAUUAAUUGUAUGAAAAAGCAGAAAAUUAUGUCUUGACAGGCAUGUAAGUGGAUUACGGGCCAGUGAUGCAUGAAAAAGCCUUCUGGCAAAGAAUGGAAAAGCAACAACAGAGCAAAUUUGAUUGUUUAUUUAACAAUGCUGCUGUGAUGUUUUGAGGAUGUCGGGAUCAAUUAAGGACCUCCCUUCACACAACAACAAGCAUCACACCUGCGGAGUUAUUGACGAAAUGCUGUCUCAGGACGAGAUUGAGCUUAAUAAUGCCCAAUUUAGAGGGGAAUGUGGAAAGGAGUCAG